GCCUCCCUCUUUCUUCGUGCUUAACACAUGCAAGUCGUACGGUAAGGCCCUUUCGGGGGUCCACGAGUGGCGAACGGGUGCGUAACACGUGAGUAACCUGCCCACAACUUUGGGAUAACGCUAGGAAACUGGUGCUAAUACUGGAUAUGUGCUCCUGCUGCAUGGUGGGGGUUGGAAAGCUCCGGCGGUUGUGGAUGGACUCGCGGCCUAUCAGCUUGUUGGUGGGGUAGUGGCCUACCAAGGCGGCGACGGGUAGCCGGCCUGAGAGGGUGACCGGCCACAUUGGGACUGAGAUACGGCCCAGACUCCUACGGGAGGCAGCAGUGGGGAAUAUUGCACAAUGGGCGCAAGCCUGAUGCAGCAACGCCGCGGGCGGGAUGACGGCCUUCGGGUUGUAAACCGCUUUCAGCAGGGACGAAGCUUUUUGUGACGGUACCUGCAGAAGAAGCACCGGCUAACUACGUG
rnacentral:rRNA from 1 species